AGGAUAAAAGUUUAGUAAACAUUUAAGUUGCAUUUAAAAAUAUUGGAAACCCUCCAAUUAUCUUA
rnacentral:tRNA from 1 species